rfam:Danio rerio chromosome 4, GRCz11 reference primary assembly.
GCCUAGCUGGCUCAGUCGGUAGAGCAUGAGACUCUCAAUCUCAGGGUUGUGGGUUAGAGCCCCAUGUUGGGUG